rnacentral:rRNA from 1 species
GCACAUGCUGUGAGCUCGAUGAGUAGGGCGGGACACGUGGUAUCCUGUCUGAAUAUGGGGGGACCAUCCUCCAAGGCUAAAUACUCCUGACUGACCGAUAGUGAACCAGUACCGUGAGGGAAAGGCGAAAAGAACCCCGGCGAGGGGAGUGAAAAAGAACCUGAAACCGUGUACGUACAAGCAGUGGGAGCACAGAGCAAUCUGUGUGACUGCGUACCUUUUGUAUAAUGGGUCAGCGACUUAUAUUCUGUAGCAAGGUUAACCGAAUAGGGGAGCCGAAGGGAAACCGAGUCUUAACUGGGCGUUAAGUUGCAGGGUAUAGACCCGAAACCCGGUGAUCUAGCCAUGGGCAGGUUGAAGGUUGGGUAACACUAACUGGAGGACCGAACCGACUAAUGUUGAAAAAUUAGCGGAUGACUUGUGGCUGGGGGUGAAAGGCCAAUCAAACCGGGAGAUAGCUGGUUCUCCCCGAAAGCUAUUUAGGUAGCGCCUCGUGAAUUCAUCUCCGGGGGUAGAGCACUGUUUCGGCAAGGGGGUCAUCCCGACUUACCAACCCGAUGCAAACUGCGAAUACCGGAGAAUGUUAUCACGGGAGACACACGGCGGGUGCUAACGUCCGUCGUGAAGAGGGAAACAACCCAGACCGCCAGCUAAGGUCCCAAAGUCAUGGUUAAGUGGGAAACGAUGUGGGAAGGCCCAGACAGCCAGGAUGUUGGCUUAGAAGCAGCCAUCAUUUAAAGAAAGCGUAAUAGCUCACUGGUCGAGUCGGCCUGCGCGGAAGAUGUAACGGGGCUAAACCAUGCACCGAAGCUGCGGCAGCGACGCUGAUGCGUUGUUGGGUAGGGGAGCGUUCUGUAAGCCUGUGAAGG